UCCUAUAUCUAAAAAGCAUUAUUGCUACCUGGUUGAGCUCCAGUUCCGCUUCCUGGGUGAUUGGUACCAUCCUCCGCAUCGUGUAUGGACUGGGGCUCUUCCUCCUGUUCUUUCCCUGCCCCAAAAGGAAUUUGCCCUUACAACUAACUUACAAAAGGAGAAACGCCAGGAAGGUAAGUGAUCCUGGACCGAGACCCACCAAAAGGUGAGUCUCUCUUCAUUUUUACUGUGAUUUCCACUUCUCUGAAUCAACUAGAGGGACUCCAGGGAUGGGAAAGAAUAGAACAUCAUCCUUCUAGAGACAAGCCAGGUUGGGUGGGCAGGGGUGAGAGUGGGCACAAGGAUUUCGAUCCAAAGAUCUCUGAGCAGGAGUCCCGGUGUGGUAGAGGGCUCCAGGGAAAGUCCCCAGGCCAGUGACCAGUGGCCAUGGACGGGAUGCUGAGUGGGAUCUGUGGGAAGACAGGCCCUGAGCACUGGUUCCCCAGCCACCUUCCCGGGGCAGGUGUCUCAGGCGGGCCUGUUCUCUGUCGUGGUUGAUCUGAGGGCAGAGCUGAGCCCCAGAGAGCCUCUGGGCAGGACCUGGAGUGGGGCUUUAGCCUCAGGAAGCAAAGUCCUCCCUGAGGAAGCUCACAAGAUUCUGUACAUCUGAGAAUGUGUGCGUUUCUUGAGCAGAGGAACAGUGACAGAAGAUGCAUGCUGGUCCCACAUGGGGACCUUCUUAUGAUCCUCAAAGAAGGAAGACAGCAAAUGUCCAUUGUGUGUUCAAUUAUCCACUUCAAAAGUAAGUUAAAGGGAAGAAACACCCCAGAGCCCCAGGAGUUCAGUGUGGACAGUCAUCUUGCUCACAAACGCUGUGCGUCUGCAGCUGGUCCAGAGAGAGGAGAGGGAGCCUUGGGGCUCAGCCCCCACAGUUUCUUGUUUUUUCUCUCAUUUCAGCAUCAAGUGGAGCCGAGAGGGAGGAGCAGCAGGAGCAGGAAGAAAAGGGGAGCUUUGAAAGCUUACAGAGCUGGCCGGAAGGACCUGGCAGAAGUGGGGGGCCUGAUGUCCCUUUUGCAAAGCUCCCCGGGGAGGCUGUCUUGUAAGGGAUGCUUCCAUCGCUUGUCAUCUCAAGACUCCCCUGGGGAGGCGUGCAAGACAUCGUCUGCUAGAGUCCGCCUUCCAUGCGGGAAGCCUGUGGAAGGUGCUCCUCUCACCACGACUCCAGCACUUUCCCUGGCUCUUCUGACCCAGCACACUCUACCUUUGGCCUCCACUCUGCCAGCAGAACCUCCAUCGGCCUUGACCAGAACUCCCCUAGGCCCUGUUGCCACGAACUCAGCUCCAGUUCACUCCUGUUGGCCGUUUCCCAACUCAGGCCACGGCCGCAUGAGCUGUCGCAUUGAGUUCCUCUCCCGGUGGAACAUAAUCAAGGUCUUGUUCUUCCCCAGGUCAUCACACUUCAAGUCCCAGCAAGGGCACCUGUCCUGCCACCGACCAGUGGCCUCAUUCUGGGGAGGCCCCACAAAUAGGGAGGGAGAGACUGAUAGCCCCUCAGUUGCCAACCCUGAUGUCUGGAAGCUGCUCGAGACAGAAAUCACGGAAAGAAUACAAACGGAGGUCUGGGAAAAAGAAGAACAAGAUGAUCCAGGCACUCCUCAGAUGCUUGAAGCACACGGUAUCAUGUCUGGGCUGAAUUUCCGCUGGGGCCUACCCCUCCUGUCCUUGGGGCCUGCAGAUCUGAAAGCAUGUGAGGCUCAACCCUCGGUCCUUCCAUGGCCCCCUUUGCCCCCCGCAGCCACCUGUGAUUCUGGGGCCCCCUCGAAAGCUGAUUUUGCACACUUCAUUGGAAAACCUCUUGAGACUCCUCCGGGUGACAAAGUCUUAACUUUGACAACAAAAGCAUCAGUUCCCAGCCUGGCCCCUCCCCUCCCUGCUCCCUCACCUGUGUGUGAGGAAAAUCAGAAGGCCCUGGGAGGGACCCUACCUGGCGAUGGCAGUGGGCCCUCAGAAGCCUCUCUCUUUGGACAGAAGGGCCGGCCGCCUUCUCCAACCUUCCCAUUCAGCCUCUCAGAGAGAAAAGGGCAGAGUGGGACCUUCGUGGGGGCUGAGCAAGGCCAUCUAGAGCUGAGUUCAGGGUCCCCAGUGGCCAGGAAUGAGCCUCAGGAGGAGAGGAGGGGUGGAGCCUCACCAGAGCCCUGCCGUGGGGUGGCAACACUGGAGGGGGAGUCAGGGUCCCAGUCUUGGAGCCAGGUCGGGGUAAUAGGAGACACCCUCGGGACCAAACCCCUCAAGCCCCUGCCUGAAAAGGAAGAGGUUUUUCACGAAAGCCCUUUCAGAAAAAUGUUGAGAUGCCUCCUGCCCUGCCUGAGGCCCAACAAGGAGGAAGCACCAGAGGAUCCCCUUGCAAAGGCAAGCCGGAGUCAGCCACCACCCAGAGCCAGGCAAGGGUCACACACAGCUCGGCGUCGGAUGGCAGGGCUGUUCAGGCGCCAUCGACAGUGACAUCCUUUGUCUGCGUCCUGGGAGAGAAACUGAGGCUUGCCGAGAACUUCUGGCCUCCCAGUCGAAGCAUCAUAAAAACCAUUUCAGGCCUGGGAAGCUGGACAUACCUGUUACCACGACGUUCCCUCCUCUCCAGACCAGAGAAGAACAAUGACAGAGGACAGUCCCCAACCUACCUCCAGGGACCACAACUGUCCAACUAUGAGUGAAUGGAUCAGAACAGGCAUGGCAACUGGACCUUGCCAUCCAGGCAGCUGCGGUCCCCAGCCAAACCCUGCCAGCCUGGGCUGAGGGUGGCAGCUGCCUCAGCCAAUCCAUUACCCGCCAUGCUGUCCUCAGAUAUGUGUCUCCUGGGAUGAGUAGACUGUGCCUGACACACCUUUCCUCAUAGGAACGCUUAUCUCCCCAAACGGGGAAGUGGAGGAACAGAAAACCUGGUUUUUCUCCUUAUCCCACCCUCUGUACUAAUGGUGUCUUCCUACCCCAAUUUUCCCCAAAUACACUUUUUUUCUCCUUAGAGGUCAUGACUUCUGUCUGUGCCCUGCUAGUGGUAAAAACAGGGUCAGGCUCCGCCCUUCCUGAGUGUCUGCUUUGGCUUCCAGAAGGGUCAGGGCCAUGGGGGGAGGCUGACUGCAGCGUGGCUCACCUGCCCUCACUCCAACUCCCCCACUGCACCUGAAGUCCCCAUCACACCGUCCUUACAAAAACAAACGGAAGCUUUGGGCUGUUUCCAGAUGAGCAAAACCUCUAAGACCCCAGCCCAGGAUGGGCCCCGCCUGUCCUCUCCUGCGUUCUCUGGCCCUGGAACUUGUGGGGCUGUAGGGAGGGGGUUUGCAGAGGCUCCAGGAAGUGUAGAGACAGG
rnacentral:lncRNA from 1 species